AUUUCGGCGGUAGGCAGUCGCCGUAGCUGGCCUUCCGAGGCAUGUGCACGCCCUGCUCAUCCACUCUACACCUGUGCACUUACUGUGGGCUUCAGAUUGCGAGGCACGCUCUUUACCGGGCUUGCGGAGCAUAUCUGUGCCUGCGUUUAUCACAAACUCUAUAAAGUAACAGAAUGUGUAUUGCGAUGUAACACAUUUAUAUACAACUUUCAGCAACGGAUCUCUUGGCUCUCGCAUCGAUGAAGAACGCAGCGAAAUGCGAUAAGUAAUGUGAAUUGCAGAAUUCAGUGAAUCAUCGAAUCUUUGAACGCACCUUGCGCUCCUUGGUAUUCCGAGGAGCAUGCCUGUUUGAGUGUCAUGAAAUCCUCAACCUACAAGCUUUUGUGGUUUGUAGGCUUGGACUUGGAGGCUUGUCGGCCGUUAUCGGUCGGCUCCUCUUAAAUGCAUUAGCUUGGUUCCUUGCGGAUCGGCUCUCGGUGUGAUAAUGUCUACGCCGCGACCGUGAAGCGUUUGGCGAGCUUCUAACCGUCUUAUAAGACAGCUUUAUGACCUCUGACCUCAAAUCAGGUAGGACUACCCGCUGAACUUAAGCAUAUCAAUAAGGCGGAGGAA
rnacentral:rRNA from 1 species